CAGUCGACGAAGCGAGAACGAAGCGCAAGCAGAGGUUCUUGACUGAGUGGCGGACGGGUGAGUAACGCGUGGAUAACCUGCCUUUCACAGGGGGAUAACAGCUGGAAACGGCUGCUAAUACCGCAUGAGCCUCUUUUGCCGCAUGACGAAAGAGGGAAAGAGAAAUCGGUGAGAGAUGGAUCCGCGUCCGAUUAGCUAGUUGGAGGGGUAAUAGCCCACCAAGGCGACGAUCGGUAGCCGACCUGAGAGGGUGGACGGCCACAUUGGGACUGAGACACGGCCCAAACUCCUACGGGAGGCAGCAGUGGGGAAUAUUGGACAAUGGGGGGAACCCUGAUCCAGCGACGCCGCGUGAGUGAAGAAGUAUUUCGGUAUGUAAAGCUCUAUCAGCAGGGAAGAAAGAAAUGACGGUACCUGACUAAGAAGCCCCGGCUAACUACGUGCCAGCAGCCGCGGUAAUACGUAGGGGGCAAGCGUUAUCCGGAUUUACUGGGUGUAAAGGGAGCGUAGACGGUUACGCAAGUCUGGAGUGAAAGGCGGGGGCCCAACCCCCGGACUGCUUUGGAAACUGUGAAACUGGAGUGCAGGAGAGGUAAGUGGAAUUCCUAGUGUAGCGGUGAAAUGCGUAGAUAUUAGGAGGAACACCAGUGGCGAAGGCGGCUUACUGGACUGUAACUGACGUUGAGGCUCGAAAGCGUGGGGAGCAAACAGGAUUAGAUACCCUGGUAGUCCACGCCGUAAACG
rnacentral:rRNA from 1 species